GCUCCUGUCGUCCAACGGAUAGGGCACCGGACUACGGAUCCGGCAACCGGGGUUCGAAUCCCCGCAGGAGUA
rnacentral:tRNA from 1 species